rnacentral:rRNA from 1 species
GACGUAGGGGGCAAGCGUUGUUCGGAAUUAUUGGGCGUAAAGCGCUCGUAGGCGGGACUGGAAGUCCGUGUUGAAAGACCUCGGCUCAACUGAGGGACCGGCUCGGAUACUCUAGUUCUUGAGGCAAUCAGAGGGUGAUGGAAUUCCCGGUGUAGCGGUGAAAUGCGCAGAUAUCGGGAGGAACACCAGUGGCGAAGGCGAUCACCUGGGGUUGUUCUGACGCUGAGGAGCGAAAGCUAGGGGAGCAAACGGG